UGGGCUGGUCAAAAGACCUUGGUCCACCGAGUGGCGGGGAGAUUCCCC
rnacentral:sRNA from 12 species